rnacentral:rRNA from 1 species
UGUGACUGAGCGGCGGACGGGUGAGUAACGCGUGGGUAACCUGCCUCAUACAGGGGGAUAACAGUUAGAAAUGACUGCUAAUACCGCAUAAGACCACAGCACCGCAUGGUGCGGGGGUAAAAACUCCGGUGGUAUGAGAUGGACCCGCGUCUGAUUAGCUAGUUGGUAAGGUAACGGCUUACCAAGGCGACGAUCAGUAGCCGACCUGAGAGGGUGACCGGCCACAUUGGGACUGAGACACGGCCCAAACUCCUACGGGAGGCAGCAGUGGGGAAUAUUGCACAAUGGGGGAAACCCUGAUGCAGCGACGCCGCGUGAGCGAAGAAGUAUUUCGGUAUGUAAAGCUCUAUCAGCAGGGAAGAAAAUGACGGUACCUGACUAAGAAGCACCGGCUAAAUACGUGCCAGCAGCCGCGGUAAUACGUAUGGUGCAAGCGUUAUCCGGAUUUACUGGGUGUAAAGGGAGCGUAGACGGAUGGGCAAGUCUGAUGUGAAAACCCGGGGCUCAACCCCGGGACUGCAUUGGAAACUGUUCAUCUAGAGUGCUGGAGAGGUAAGUGGAAUUCCUAGUGUAGCGGUGAAAUGCGUAGAUAUUAGGAG